GCCAGGAGUGGUGCUGCAUGCCUGUAAUCCUAGCAGCUCAGGAGGCUGAGGCAGGAGGAUCGCUAGUUCAAAGCCAGUGUCAGCCAAAAUGAGGUACUAAGCAACUCGGUGAGACCCUGUCUCUA
rnacentral:sRNA from 1 species